UUCUUGAUUAUUAUUCAUAAUCCAUUUUUCAAAUAUGUAAAUUCUUCAUAAAGCAUUGAUGAUUACAAAUCAUAAUCCGAAGAAUUCAAUACUUAAAAAUCUCAUCCGUCAACAGAUUUAUCUGCACAGUGGUUGACACUGAAGAAAAGACAAUUGUACACUGAUGUGUGAUACUUUUAAGCAUUUAACAAUUGCUAUCGGGUGAAAUGUUAAAUGUUUAAGUUCAAAUCGAAUGCUGUCAAACAUUAAACAUUUAUCAUCAAUUUUCUAUCAAUCAGCAACCACUGUGACCUCAACUGAUUUGUGACACUGUUUUGCGGACAGUUGGAUGCGGAACCAACACGACGGGGUUUUAGCAUUAUUUGUCUGGUGCUCGGGACGCAUCUCGUCGCUUAGUCUCGUCUCGAUUCAAGAAUCAGACGGGACUCGGGCUGCUGAGCACUUGCGGUUAAAUUGAUGGACAUUUUCGUUUUUGGUGGCGACAUUAAUGACAAUUGCAAUUGUUCAGGCGCGAAACGAACCGCAAACCACUUUAUUAGCAACACAGACUCAACAGCGAGGAUGACGAAGAGAAUGAUAAUGAUGAUGCUGCUGCUGCUGCUACUGAGAAUGAAAAUGUUAAUGAUGUUGUAGUUGUUUGUUGUCGUUGUCUUUGACAGGUUUCCUCGUUGCGCUUUGGUUAUGCUUAAUGAAUUUCGACAUUUUUGUUGACAUUGUCAAUUAAUGUGAGAUUAACUUGUGCUCCCACUUAAAAUGCGCGAAUUUCGUUCGCUGCCAGGCAUUGCGUUGCGUGCUCAUAAAUCACGCAUACGCCCAGUUGAACGAACUCGCUGCCAAUUAGCCUCAGGGGCGCCUUUAUUUUUCUGUUUUUCUGUUGUUUUUUUUGUUGGUGAGUGUUGAUAUCCACACACAUAUAACAUAACACGGUAUCACUCGGACAUUUCCGUUUCCGUUCCGGCAUUGCCAACUCUCGCGUGCCAAAUGAUGUGUCACCUGUCCGCAAAAGAAAUGCAAAAAGCAAUAGAAAGCCUUCGGCUGGUGAGUGAGCGCAAUAAAAAGUCCGUUGGCAUCUGGCCCAAUUCUGUUUUUUUUUUUCGAUGGAGUACUAAAAAAUCAUGCUGUAGUAGUAUUCCUAACUAUUCGAUUGAAUAGGAAAUGCUACCCACACCAUUACCAACUGCCUCCUGUGAGAAUUGAACUCACGACCGCUGGUUUACAAGACCAGCGCUCUGCCACUGAGCUAAGAAGGCGCUUGAAGAACGCUCGCUUCUUGCAGCUCAAAAGAGUUGAAAGCAAAGUCUGCAAUUCAAUUACGUGGAGCGUAGGCGAAAUGCAAUUAGCUAAAUGGCUUCGUCAUGUUGUUGUGAUAAGCGGGGGCAAGAAAUGUGCCUCGCAUAUUCUUCAAACGGCGGCGACAUUGAGUCUGUAAGCUUAUCAAAAGUUUUCCUGUCGUUGUCGUGGUUGCUUUUGCUUUUGCUAUUGUUGUUGCUGGUGCGGAGUGACAGGCAACGCGAGAAAAGGUUUAUGAAACUUCUGGUUUGGAUCUUUGCGUUCGCUUUUGCAUUUACCUUGACUUUACAAGGUUGUCCUUCAAAUUGCGCACAAAUCAUCAAAGUUAUUCACAGUCGCUAAACUUAUUUCGCUUCAGUUUAAUUUACUUUGCCAUUUCCCUUUGAACAGUUGCAGCUGACUAUAAAAUUCUAUUUCCAAUCAUAUUUCUGUGCUGCUUCCGUUCACUCUAUAAAUUGCAAUUCACAAUAAAUAAAGCUCAAUCAAAGAAGAAAAGAAACUUAAACAGAGUUUACUUUUCAUUCUCAGUUUCAUCUGUCAAUAACACAAUCUACAUACAAAUUGUUCUUCAUCUUCUCAACCUUCUGUCUAUUUCGAACGUGCAAUAAAUAAUUAAAAUUUCCUUAUUUUGCGGGCAAUUUUAUUUAUUGGCGGUAAAUUUGACGCCAGCCAUUAAUUAAAUAUUUCCGGAUAUUGCAACAAUGCGUAAACAGUUAUUAAUCUAGUUUUGGAUUGAAUUAAGCUGGGCGACUUACCGAUAUUAACAAUGCCAUGAUUGGUUAGUUCCCAGCAUGACUGUAAGCGUAAUAUGCUCAAGCUGUGACUUUGCUUUGGUGAAAAAUAUCCGAGGGCAGCAUCUGUGACAUGUCGUCAUAUUCAACACUUGCCUGCAGCGAAAACUCGUACAAGGAUGGCAGCAGCUGGGCCACCGCUCCCACAGCCUCGUCCGCAAUGUUGAUGCAGUCCGCCAGUGACAAGGACACGAUCCGCGGCGUCAAACAGGCCCAGA